UUGCUAUUUUCAUGAAGAGCGGCGAACGGGUGAGUAACGCGUGGGAAAUCUGCCGAGUAGCGGGGGACAACGUUUGGAAACGAACGCUAAUACCGCAUAACAAUGAGAAUCGCAUGAUUCUUAUUUGAAAGAAGCAAUUGCUUCACUACUUGAUGAUCCCGCGUUGUAUUAGCUAGUUGGUAGUGUAAAGGACUACCAAGGCGAUGAUACAUAGCCGACCUGAGAGGGUGAUCGGCCACACUGGGACUGAGACACGGCCCAGACUCC
rnacentral:rRNA from 1 species